ACCACAGGUAUGAAAUUUACGGCAUGUAAUGCCUUAAGAGAGAAUAUUAUGAAAAUGAUAUACAGGUGGUACAUAACCCCAGUCAAGCUUGCGAAAAUUUAUCACUUGCCCGAUAACAAAUGUUGGAAAUGUAAAGAAACUGAAGGUACAUUUUUUCACCUUUGGUGGACGUGCCCAAAGAUUAAGGUUUUCUGGGAAAUGAUAUAUAAUGAAUUAAAAAGGUAUUUAAGUAUACCUUUCCCAAGAAACCAGAGGCCUUUCUCCUGGGCAUAGUGGGCCAAAUGGUGUUAAAAAAGGAUAGAACUUUCUUUAUGUAUGCAACAACAGCAGCAAGAAUACUCAUCGCAAAGUAUUGGAAGACACAAGAACUUCCCACGCUGGAGGAAUGGCAGAUGAAACUUAUGGACUAUAUGGAAUUGGCGGAAAUGACUGGCAGAAUCCGUGACCAGGGAGAAGAGUCGAUGGAGGAAGAUUGGAAGAAAUUCAAAGACUAUCUUCAGAAACACUGCAAAAUUAAGGAAUGUUAGAGUGAUGUUGGAUUGAAAAUAAGUGGUUUCCAGCUGUACAGGUUAAAGCUAGGAUAGAUUAAGAUUAAAGAUUAAGAUUGGGAAAAAUUUAAAGGUAUAUGACAUUAAAAACAAGGAUUAUGUUUAUGUUAUAUAGUUUAAUAUUUUAUUAAAUUAAAGAUUGGGUUUAAAAAAGUGGAAAAGAAAUUGCUGGACAAAUAAUGUAGAUUGGAAUACAAAAGAGGGAGGUAUGAGGAAGUCCAGAAAAUAAGUAAUUUAAAAUUGGGAACGUAAAAGAGAGGUUGUUUUAAAUUGUUAUGUUGUGUGUUUUUAUUGUUAAAUUUUGUAUUGUGUUUUUUUGUGUGUGUGU